ACUUUUAAAGGAUAAUAGUCUUCCACUAGCCUUAGGAGCUGGCCCUACUUGGUGCAAAUCCAAGUAAAAGUA
rnacentral:tRNA from 1 species